rnacentral:tRNA from 1 species
UCUAAUAUGGCAGAUAAGUGCAAUGGAUUUAAGCCCCAUACACAAAGAAAUAUGUUUCUUUUAUUAGAA